CGUAACAAAGAGAAUCAAACAACCCUUUGGAACGAGAGAACUUUGUGAUAAAAUCUAAAUCAAGGGAUUGGUAUUCAAUGCAAGGAAUAAGUUUAUCCAUAUCUUGUAGCCGCUUGCAAUCGUUUAAAUAAUUAAGGAUAUGAUGCUGUAAUUGCGGAGAAGGAUUGGUAAAUCUCUGACUAAGAAUUAAAUCAAAUAAAGCUUCCAAUACAACAUAUACUU